UAAUAGUAAAUGUUGAGGUGCUUGUACUAGGCAUUCUGUGAUCCAAUCACAAAAGUUUGCUAAGUAUAUGUAUAUGUACCACUAGUCUGUCAUUGCCAGAUAAUCACAUUAUGUUUUUGUUUAUUUUAUAUGAUUUUAUGUGUGUGUUUCAACUUGUGGAUGUGCCAUUUUCAAAGAUUACAGCCUUUAAAAGGGAAGUCACCAGUGUAUAGUACCAUAGUUUUUUCACUAUGUUUAUUUUGUCAAUUUUUGUUUGAAGUAUAUUUUUGUGUCAAAAGUUCAAUUUUAUCUUUUAGCACAUUUGAAAAUAUUUUAUAAAGCUAUUGAUUAUAUCGAUGUGCAACACCAUUUAGACCAUUCAAACAUAGAAAUCCAAAAAAGCCUUCAAAAUUUGGUUAAUGUAUAUAUUAAAGACAAAUUUUCAGUUUAAUUUGUUUUUAACUUAUGAAAAAUUGCAUUGGAUAAUACUUAAGAAAUUCUGAUGAUUUUACAGUAUGUUUUGUCUGUCUGUUUUUACUGUAUGACUUUAUUACCUGCAUUGCAUUGCUACAUGCUGUUCUUAAUUUAAUCAAAUCUUAUGUACUGACAUGUGCAAUAAAACAUCAAAGUUACAAUAAACCAUGAAAG
rnacentral:sRNA from 1 species